rnacentral:rRNA from 1 species
GUGUCAGCAGCCGCGGUAAUACGAAGGGUGCAAGCGUUACUCGGAAUUACUGGGCGUAAAGCGUGCGUAGGUGGUUCGUUAAGUCUGUCGUGAAAGCCCCGGGCUCAACCUGGGAAUGGCGAUGGAUACUGGCGGGCUAGAGUGCGGUAGAGGGUGGUGGAAUUCCCGGUGUAGCAGUGAAAUGCGUAGAGAUCGGGAGGAACAUCAGUUGCGAAGGCGGCCACCUGGACCAGCACUGACACUGAGGCACGAAAGCGUGGGGAGCAAACAGGAUUAGAAACCCUUGUAGUCC